GAUGAACGCUGGCGGCGUGCUUAACACAUGCAAGUCGAACGGAAAGGCUCCUGCUUGCAGGGGUACUCGAGUGGCGAACGGGUGAGUAACACGUGGGUGAUCUGCCCUGCACUUCGGGAUAAGCCUGGGAAACUGGGUCUAAUACCGGAUAGGACGAUCGGUUGGAUGCCAUUGUGGAAAGUUUUUCGGUGGGGGAUGAGCUCGCGGCCUAUCAGCUUGUUGGUGGGGUAGUGGCCUACCAAGGCGUCGACGGGUAGCCGGCCUGAGAGGGUGUACGGCCACAUUGGGACUGAGAUACGGCCCAGACUCCUACGGGAGGCAGCAGUGGGGAAUAUUGCACAAUGGGCGCAAGCCUGAUGCAGCGACGCCGCGUGGGGGAUGACGGCCUUCGGGUUGUAAACUCCUUUCGCCAGGGACGAAGCGCAAGUGACGGUACCUGGAGAAGAAGCACCGGCUAACUACGUG
rnacentral:rRNA from 1 species